rnacentral:rRNA from 1 species
AGCAGCCGCGGUAAUUCCAGCUCCAAUAGCGUAUAUUAAAGUUGCUGCAGUUAAAAAGCUCGUAGUUGAAUUUCGGGACUAAUAUGUCGGUCGUGCCUCGGUACGUACUGGUAUUUUUGGUUUCUCCCUUCUGACGAACCUUGAUGUCAUUAAUUUGGUGUCUUGGGAAAUCAGGACUGUUACUUUGAAAAAAUUAGAGUGUUUAAAGCAGGCUUACGCUUGAAUACAUUAGCAUGGAAUAAUGAAAUAGGACGUUUGAUUCUAUUUUGUUGGUUUCUAGGAUUGACGUAAUGAUUAAUAGGGAUAGUUGGGGGCAUUAGUAUUCAAUUGUCAGAGGUGAAAUUCUUGGAUUUAUUGAAGACUAACUACUGCGAAAGCAUUUGCCAAGGAUGUUUUCAUUAAUCAAGAACGAAAGUUAGGGGAUCGAAGACGAUCAGAUACCGUCGUAGUCUUAACCAUAAACUAUGCCGACUAGGGAUCGGAUGAUGUUAAUUUUUAAUGACUCAUUCGGCGCCUUACG